rnacentral:rRNA from 1 species
GACGAACGCUGGCGGCGUGCUUAACACAUGCAAGUCGAACGGAAAGGCCCUGCUCUUGUGGGGUGCUCGAGUGGCGAACGGGUGAGUAACACGUGAGUAACCUGCCCUUGACUUUGGGAUAACUUCAGGAAACUGGGGCUAAUACCGGAUAGGAUCUCCUGCUGCAUGGUGGGGGUUGGAAAGUUUCGGCGGUUGGGGAUGGACUCGCGGCUUAUCAGCUUGUUGGUGGGGUAGUGGCUUACCAAGGGUUUGACGGGUAGCCGGCCUGAGAGGGUGACCGGCGACAUUGGGACUGAGAUACGGACCAGACUCCAACGGGAGGCAGCAGUGGGGAAUAUUGCACAAUGGGCGCAAGCCUGAUGCAGCGACGCCGCGUGCGGGAUGACGGCCUACGGGUUGUAAACCGCUUUCGCAUGUGACGAAGAGUGAGUGACGGUAAUGGGUAAAGAAGCACCGGCUAACUACGUG